CGAAGUACAUUUGCGUGAUGCGGUCAUGUAAGUUUCUGAAACACAAACAGAGAAGUGGUACAUUUUCUUAGAACUGGUGCACUGGUGAUGCAGGAGAUAAUUUAAAUGAUUAUAUAAGGCGGUGCUGCUGAAAUGUAUAAAAAUCAAAGUGGCAAGAACCAAGUGUUCUUUGUUCCAGUUUGACUGACUUGAACGUAACAGCGUGUCUCAGCUACACUCUGCUCAUCUCGAGUCUUCGCUCCUCAUUUGCUUCAGAGCAUUUCACCUGCUGUUUCAGACAACCAACUUGUGCAACUGCAGGUUAAACCCACCCCUCAUCAGUGAAACAAAAAUAAGGUAAGUGUCCAGAUUUGGUUUAAUAAAUUACUCAUUUAACAUACAUUUAGCAAGAAUGCUGUGCUGGAUGUCUUUUAGUGCAGGAAAGGUGAUGAGUUUCUUGAGUUGAGUUUUAUUCUUUUUAGAUGUGCAGUACAGCAUUGUUAUUACAGACCAAGCCAAAAUAUAUGAGAGGAAAGCUCUCUGGUAUUUAUGUUUAAGAUGAUUUCAUGUCUCCAUCUGCGUUUUAGUUCUUGCACAUUGUUUCAUUGAGUAAUGUAAAAAUUUCAGGCUGACAAUCAGUGUGUGAAAAGACAAAAUCAAAAUUCUAAUGAGUGUAACUGUAAGACAUUUAGAUUCUACAGCAAUUUGUGGUUGCAUUAAACAAUAACUAAGAUUAUUAAACAAUGGGGACAACUAACAAAGUUAGCUGGUCAUCAGUGUAAUUACACACAAGGCAAGCAGAAACUACCAAGAUAAAUAAAUAAAUAAAUAAAAUAAAAUAAAUACACACGGGGACAUCACUGACAUAAUGCUUUCCCUAGCCGCUUACCCUAAACCUAACCAUAGCCUAAUUGUAACCCUGGCCCUAAAA
rnacentral:lncRNA from 1 species